rnacentral:rRNA from 1 species
GUCCACGCCGUAAACGAUGGAUACUAGGUGUAGGGGGUUUAACACCUUCUGUGCCGGAGCAAACGCAAUAAGUAUCCCGCCUGGGGAGUACGAUCGCAAGAUUGAAACUCAAAGGAAUUGACGGGGGCCCGCACAAGCAGCGGAGCAUGUGGUUUAAUUCGAAGCAACGCGAAGAACCUUACCAAGGCUUGACAUCCCCUGACAGACAUAGAAAUAUGUUAUCUCUUCGGAGCAGGGAGACAGGUGGUGCAUGGUUGUCGU